GAUGAACGCUGGCGGCGUGCCUAAUACAUGCAAGUCGAGCGAACGGACGAGAAGCUUGCUUCUCUGAUGUUAGCGGCGGACGGGUGAGUAACACGUGGAUAACCUACCUAUAAGACUGGGAUAACUUCGGGAAACCGGAGCUAAUACCGGAUAAUAUUUUGAACCGCAUGGUUCAAAAGUGAAAGACGGUCUUGCUGUCACUUAUAGAUGGAUCCGCGCUGCAUUAGCUAGUUGGUAAGGUAACGGCUUACCAAGGCAACGAUGCAUAGCCGACCUGAGAGGGUGAUCGGCCACACUGGAACUGAGACACGGUCCAGACUCCUACGGGAGGCAGCAGUAGGGAAUCUUCCGCAAUGGGCGAAAGCCUGACGGAGCAACGCCGCGUGAGUGAUGAAGGUCUUCGGAUCGUAAAACUCUGUUAUUAGGGAAGAACAUAUGUGUAAGUAACUGUGCACAUCUUGACGGUACCUAAUCAGAAAGCCACGGCUAACUACGUGCCAGCAGCCGCGGUAAUACGUAGGUGGCAAGCGUUAUCCGGAAUUAUUGGGCGUAAAGCGCGCGUAGGCGGUUUUUUAAGUCUGAUGUGAAAGCCCACGGCUCAACCGUGGAGGGUCAUUGGAAACUGGAAAACUUGAGUGCAGAAGAGGAAAGUGGAAUUCCAUGUGUAGCGGUGAAAUGCGCAGAGAUAUGGAGGAACACCAGUGGCGAAGGCGACUUUCUGGUCUGUAACUGACGCUGAUGUGCGAAAGCGUGGGGAUCAAACAGGAUUAGAUACCCUGGUAGUCCACGCCGUAAACGAUGAGUGCUAAGUGUUAGGGGGUUUCCGCCCCUUAGUGCUGCAGCUAACGCAUUAAGCACGCCGCCUGGGGAGUACGACCGCAAGGUUGAAACUCAAAGGAAUUGACGGGGACCCGCACAAGCGGUGGAGCAUGUGGUUUAAUUCGAAGCAACGCGAAGAACCUUACCAAAUCUUGACAUCCUUUGACAACUCUAGAGAUAGAGCCUUCCCCUUCGGGGGACAAAGUGACAGGUGGUGCAUGGUUGUCGUCAGCUCGUGUCGUGAGAUGUUGGGUUAAGUCCCGCAACGAGCGCAACCCUUAAGCUUAGUUGCCAUCAUUAAGUUGGGCACUCUAAGUUGACUGCCGGUGACAAACCGGAGGAAGGUGGGGAUGACGUCAAAUCAUCAUGCCCCUUAUGAUUUGGGCUACACACGUGCUACAAUGGACAAUACAAAGGGCAGCGAAACCGCGAGGUCAAGCAAAUCCCAUAAAGUUGUUCUCAGUUCGGAUUGUAGUCUGCAACUCGACUACAUGAAGCUGGAAUCGCUAGUAAUCGUAGAUCAGCAUGCUACGGUGAAUACGUUCCCGGGUCU
rnacentral:rRNA from 1 species